rnacentral:rRNA from 1 species
AAUCGUUGCCUCGGCGUAGGCCGCAAGCCCUCGUGCUUGCCCUCCGUCCCCUCUGGUAGGGACAGAGGAGCAGUCCGCCGGUGGCCUACCAAACUCUUGUUUGUUAACUGUACCUUCUGAGUUAUUAACAACAAUGAAUCAAAACUUUCAACAACGGAUCUCUUGGUUCUGGCAUCGAUGAAGAACGCAGCGAAAUGCGAUAAGUAAUGUGAAUUGCAGAAUUCAGUGAACCAUCGAAUCUUUGAACGCACAUUGCGCCCGUUGGUAUUCCAGCGGGCAUGCCUGUUCGAGCGUCAUUUCAACCCUCAAAUACCUCUGUAUUUGGUGUUGGGGCAUAGCCUGGUAGCAAGGGCUAGCCCUCAAAUUCAGUGGCGUGCUCACUAAGACUCCGAGCGUAGUAAUUUGUUUUUUUUCUUCUUCUUUCUCGCUUAGGCCUAUUAGUGAUGCGUAGCCGUUAAACCCGCCAUCGCGCACCUUUUGAAAAGUUGACCUCGGAUCAGGUAGGAAUACCCGCUGAACUUAAGCAUAUCAAUAAGCGGAGGAA